rnacentral:rRNA from 1 species
UACGUAGGGUGCGAGCGUUGUCCGGAAUUAUUGGGCGUAAAGAGCUCGUAGGCGGUGUGUCGCGUCGGCCGUGAAAACCUGGGGCUCAACUCUGGGCGUGCGGUCGAUACGGGCAUCACUUGAGUUCGGCAGGGGAGACUGGAAUUCCUGGUGUAGCGGUGAAAUGCGCAGAUAUCAGGAGGAACACCGAUGGCAAGGCAUCCC